UCUCACAAAACUGUUUUCAGUAUCAAAAAAGAAAAAAACCUACGUGGAAUAUAAAACUUCUGUUGUUAGCAUUUUCUCAAGAAGUGGGACAAUACAAAAAAAACAUGAAGAGAAAGCAGACUGCUGCAUGCUUUGCAGAAGACAGACUUCCCUGUCAGGUGACUCUGGACAGGAGCUUAGCCCCAGUAGCCUUGUUAUUCUUCCAGAAGAGCCUGUUCUUUCUCCUGGUGAAAUAAGGAGUCAAAAAAGGGGCUCCACCAAACAGAACCGAACCAAACUUUGACAGCUGUUCGAAGAAUCUCCUUUCAUUCCUGAUCUUCUCCACAUUCAAAUCAUUUUAUGGAAGAGAAAAUGCAUGAAAAAUUAAAAUGGUAAUGUGACAGACUGACAAUGAAAUGUCUAGUUGUAAGUUCUGAGGUAUCUUUGACACCUGGAUACUCGCUGAUCAGAUUAUCACCUUCCCCUGUAAUAUAUUUUCUGUGUUUCAUUAACCUCAAUCCAAGUGGACCAAACUAUGGCACUAUCACUCAUAGAAGAUAAUAGUUGUGAGAAAAAUGUCAUUGUGGUUCUUCCUUUAGAUGAGCCUAAGUAGUCCUCUA